rnacentral:rRNA from 1 species
GAUGAACGCUGGCGGCGUGCCUAAUACAUGCAAGUCGAGCGAACAGACGAGGAGCUUGCUCUUCUGACGUUAGCGGCGGACGGGUGAGUAACACGUGGAUAACCUACCUAUAAGACUGGGAUAACUUCGGGAAACCGGAGCUAAUACCGGAUAAUAUAUUGAACCGCAUGGUUCAAUAGUGAAAGACGGUUUUGCUGUCACUUAUAGAUGGAUCCGCGCCGCAUUAGCUAGUUGGUAAGGUAACGGCUUACCAAGGCGACGAUGCGUAGCCGACCUGAGAGGGUGAUCGGCCACACUGGAACUGAGACACGGUCCAGACUCCUACGGGAGGCAGCAGUAGGGAAUCUUCCGCAAUGGGCGAAAGCCUGACGGAGCAACGCCGCGUGAGUGAUGAAGGUCUUCGGAUCGUAAGACUCUGUUAUUAGGGAAGAACAAAUGUGUAAGUAACUAUGCACGUCUUGACGGUACCUAAUCAGAAAGCCACGGCUAACUACGUG